UUGAUCCUAUAUAGUAGCCUGAAAAAUAUUUUCAAUAUAUUAUCAAUAAUUGGUUCGGUCAAAACUUAACUUGCCGGCUUGCCGACUUGGCGUUGCCACCUGGCGCACAAUUUUGACAAGAUUCGUCUGACGAGGGGAUGCGCAACUUUUCAGCUUUUGGAUUGCUUCUGUGAUUGAAUGGGAAAGUUAAUCCUUGAACGCCGUGAAUGACUGAAUCUUCUUUGGAUUGGAUUGCAACACACACACAAAAGCUUUCAUGCGCUUUAGAGCUUUUGAAUUGUUGAUUUGAUGAAAUGCGUUGUUAUAAUCUCAAUCCUAUGAUUAGACGCCGAUCAAUCCUAUGAUUAGACGCCGCUAACGAAGCUCUUCUUAUUAUCUGGGUUUCGUUUGCUUAAACGCAUAUUUGAUUUCAUUUUUAUUAUUAUUUUUUUUUUUUUUGGAUCGAUCCAGUGAAUCUCCGCAUUCAUUGGAUUGAGCUUACUUUUACGCAUAUUUUGUAGAGAAAAUUAACGACAUUUUGCGCUUUCAGUUGUUUUCUAAUUUAAAUUUAUGUUUAUGAGUUAUGGCCGCUGCUCUGGCAGCGAGCAUAAGACCCCAGCGCCCAGCCCCGAACCGAACUGAACCCGAAACCAGAGCCUAUGGCCGAAUACUAUACUCUUGGCACCCCCUGCCACUGCCACUGCCAUCCGCCCAGUCAACCGGUUGGUAUCCAACCCAAAGCAUGCACUUGUACAAAAGUAUGAUUAUGAAUUUUGGCUGCGCUCUUUGAGCUUCAACCAAAAGGAAUUUGUAAAGACGCAUACUUGAAAUAAGACAUGCGUUAUGCUAAAAUAUUUUGAAUCAAUCUGAAGAUUGGGCUAUGAAAUAUUUACAUGAUUAUAAAUUAAUUUAUAAGGAGAUAACAGACGGACAACAGGCAGAGGAGAAAGAAACAUGAAACAAAUGCCAAAUAUAGAACAAAAAUAUGAACAAGUUGAACGUUCAUCAAAUUAGGCAAUGUAAAAGGAAUUUCAAUAUUUUGAUAGCAACCAUUUGCUGACAUUUUAAGAAAUUCUACUUGAGUUACAUUGGACUGUUUUUAUGUUUUCCCAUUUUUGUUUGUUCCUGCUGAUGCUGCACUGUGAGAGUUGUGGAAUCUUUGCUCUGGUUGGCCCCCCACACAAGGGCACUAAAACGGACAAGUACCGAGGCUGAGCAUCAAGAAGUGUCCUUUGUGGAUGCCCCCGAAAACUAUGCAAGGCACAACAAGCGUUACCAUGUAGCCUCAGCUCCCAGUUGUCAGUUCCUACUAAGGCUCAACUUCUGGUGAACUUGUUGUUGUACUAAAAAAAAAAAGAAUAAAGGAGGACAAAAAAUUCAUUUAUUAUUAAAAUCACUUUCGUUGCAAUGAGGAU